rnacentral:lncRNA from 1 species
AGUGUUCUGCCAACUCGCUCCACGACUGUCUAGUUCCAUCUGGCCCCAGCCCACUUUUGUUUUAUGCCUUUGGCUAUUGGUAGCAAAAAAUCAGUGGCUACACUAGCUGGAGACUGUCAAGGCCAGCCCGAGGAACCAAGAGCAGACUGGGAUCUGGAGAAUGCUGUCAGUGAAGUUUACUUGUGAUAGACUGUCUGCCUGAGCCCUUAUUGCAUUGUACCUGCAUUACCCAAGAGGUAAAAGAAGGAAGAGAAAUGGAUGGGAAUGGGUCAGAGGAACAACACACACUUUUAGGAGAAAGGAGAUUAAGAAAUAUCUGCUUCAUGUAUUCUAUUGUGGCCUGAAUUUCUCAUGAAUGUGGGCCCACUCAUUGAUUCUCUGCAGAUACAGCACACAUCUUCCAUAACCAGAAGCACUCCAAGAACAACACUUUCAUUCAUGGACUUAACAACUACAUUAGAUCAUACCAGCCUGUCACUUCAAAGUCGCCAGUGUCAAGGAUUAUGAAGAGUGUCGUCAGGUGCUGUGAGGCAAGAAGAGAUCGGAAACUUAGACGCAGCUUUGUUUCCUGCAAUGUACAGAAGAAAUGGCUUUUAUAGGAAAAAAAGUCUUCAAAAGUCAUUUUAAAAAUAAAAGGACAUAUAUGCAAGUGAUCAUAACGAUAUACAAGAUUAAGUGGGGAUUAAGGGAAAGAGGCUAUUUAGGAUUUCUAACAUUUUGAAUCUGGAUACCUAAAAGUGUGGUCUUGACAAAUAAAAGAUAUGGGAGGAGAUUAAAAUGAGGAAAAAUUGAAGAGUUCUGCCUUGCAAAUGUUGAGUUUCUGCUGACAGUGCAUUGUCCAUGUAUGAGUCAUUUGAAAAUGUAGAAUUGGAAUUCAAGAUGAGAGAUACAGAUGUAAAAGUCAUAGGAAAAUUAGCAAAACAUGAGCAUUUUCAGAAUAAGUAAUUCCACAAGGAGAUCUAUCCAGAGAAGGAAUUUGAGGCCGAAUCCUUAAGAAACAGUAAUGUUCAAGGGAAACAAAGAGCAUCUUCUAUGGUCUGAAUGCAUCCCCACAAAAUUCAUGUUAAAAGUUAUUUGCCAAUGUGAUGAUAUUAAGAUGUAGGGCCUUUGGGAGCUGAUUAGGUUAUGAGGGUGGAACCCUUGUGAAUGGAUUAGUGCCCCUAUAAAAGGAUUCAAGGAAACUAGCUAGGCCCGUCUCCCUUUCUGUCCCUUCUGCCAUGUGAGGACAUAGCAUUAGUCCCUGCUGAAGGAUGCAGCAACACGAUGCCAUUUUGGAAGCAAAGUCCAGGCCCUCACCAGACUUAACCUGCCAGCACCUUUAUUUUGGACUUCCCAGCCUCCAGAACCAUAAGAAAUAAAUUUGUUGUUUAUAAAUUACCCAGUUUCUGGUAUUUUGUGAUAGCAGCACAAACAGACUAAGACAGUACCUGACAAAGGGAG